rnacentral:rRNA from 1 species
UACGGAGGGUGCAAGCGUUAAUCGGAAUUACUGGGCGUAAAGGGUGCGUAGGUGGUUGAAUAAGUUAGGUGUGAAAGUCCUGGGCUUAACCUGGGGAUUGCGCCUAAUACUGUUUAGCUAGAGUACUGUAGAGGAAGGUGGAAUUUCCAGUGUAGCGGUGAAAUGCGUAGAUAUUGGAAGGAACAUCAGUGGCGAAGGCGACUUUCUGGACAGAUACUGACACUGAGGCACGAAAGCGUGGGGAGCAAACAGG